UAGGGAAUCUUCCGCAAUGGGCGAAAGCCUGACGGAGCAACGCCGCGUGAGUGAUGAAGGUCUUCGGAUCGUAAAACUCUGUUAUUAGGGAAGAACAAAUGUGUAAGUAACUAUGCACGUCUUGACGGUACCUAAUCAGAAAGCCACGGCUAACUACGUGCCAGCAGCCGCGGUAAUACGUAGGUGGCAAGCGUUAUCCGGAAUUAUUGGGCGUAAAGCGCGCGUAGGCGGUUUUUUAAGUCUGAUGUGAAAGCCCACGGCUCAACCGUGGAGGGUCAUUGGAAGCUGGAAAACUUGAGUGCAGAAGAGGAAAGUGGAAUUCCAUGUGUAGCGGUGAAAUGCGCAGAGAUAAGGAGGAACACCAGUGGCGAAGGCGACUUUCUGGUAUGUAACUGGCGCUGAUGUGCGAAAGCGUGGCGAUCAAACAGG
rnacentral:rRNA from 1 species